GGGGAUUUAACUCAGUGGUAGAGUGCUUGCCUAGCAAGCGCAAGGCCCUGGGUUCGGUUCCCAGCUCCA
rnacentral:tRNA from 1 species